GUCAGGCUUGUUGUGGAAAGACCAGCAAUGAUUUGCUUCAAGUAAGCCGUAGGAGUUUUGAAACGAAAAGUGCCACAACAAAGAGAGAACUCAAGGUCCUGUCAAAUACGGUUUGAAUACUAUGUGUCGGAUUUCUCAAGUGCAAAAUGUAUAAUCUUAUAUUCUUCAUUCUGGGGUCCUAUAUACUGUAGAUAGAUAAGGUGAAGAGGCACGUGAGGUGACUGCACGGGGGGCAUCAUGAACACAGUGUCCAGAAGUGCCUGCUAAACAAAUCAUUAAAAAUGGCAUAACAUCAUGUCACCUUUACUCCACUUACGAUAAAAAAACAUUUUGGAACCAACUGCCUUGCACCCUAACUCUUGGUUUUUAUCCAAACUAGGGCUGUCAAACGAUUA